AUUGAACGUUGGCGGCAUGCCUUACACAUGCAAGUCGAACGGCAGCGCGGGAGCAAUCCUGGCGGCGAGUGGCGAACGGGUGAGUAAUGCAUCGGAACGUGCCUAGUAGUGGGGGAUAACUGCUCGAAAGAGCAGCUAAUACCGCAUACGACCUGAGGGUGAAAGGGGGGGAUCGCAAGACCUCUCGCUAUUAGAGCGGCCGAUGUCGGAUUAGCUAGUUGGUGGGGUAAAGGCCCACCAAGGCAACGAUCCGUAGCUGGUCUGAGAGGACGAGCAGCCACACUGGGACUGAGACACGGCCCAGACUCCUACGGGAGGCAGCAGUGGGGAAUUUUGGACAAUGGACGCAAGUCUGAUCCAGCCAUGCCGCGUGCGGGAAGAAGGCCUUCGGGUUGUAAACCGCUUUUGUCAGGGAAGAAAUCUUCUGGGCUAAUACCCUGGGAGGAUGACGGUACCUGAAGAAUAAGCACCGGCUAACUACGUGCCAGCCGCCGCAGUAAAAC
rnacentral:rRNA from 1 species